CCUACGGGAGGCAGCAGUGGGGAAUAUUGCACAAUGGGGGAAACCCUGAUGCAGCGACGCCGCGUGAGUGAAGAAGUAAUUCGUUAUGUAAAGCUCUAUCAGCAGGGAAGAAAAUGACGGUACCUGAGUAAGAAGCCCCGGCUAACUACGUGCCAGCAGCCGCGGUAAUACGUAGGGGGCAAGCGUUAUCCGGAUUUACUGGGUGUAAAGGGUGCGUAGACGGCAGUGCAAGUCUGGAGUUAAAGGCGGGGGCUCAACCCCCGGACUGCUCUGGAAACUGUACGGCUGGAGUGCAGGAGAGGUAAGUGGAAUUCCUAGUGUAGCGGUGAAAUGCGUAGAUAUUAGGAGGAACACCAGUGGCGAAGGCGGCUUACUGGACUGUAACUGACGUUGAGGCUCGAAAGCGUGGGGAGCAAACAGGAUUAGAUACCCCUGUAGUG
rnacentral:rRNA from 1 species